UUGAUCCUACGGGGGGCAGCAGAGGGGAAUAUUGCACAAUGGGGGAAACCCUGAUGCAGCGACGCCGCGUGAGUGAAGAAGUAUUUCGGUAUGUAAAGCUCUAUCAGCAGGGAAGAAAAUGACGGUACCUGACUAAGAAGCCCCGGCUAACUACGUGCCAGCAGCCGCGGUAAUACGUAGGGGGCAAGCGUUAUCCGGAUUUACUGGGUGUAAAGGGAGCGUAGACGGCGAUGCAAGUCUGAAGUGAGAGGCGGGGGCCCCACCCCCGGGCUGCUUUGGGAA
rnacentral:rRNA from 1 species